CGCAGGAGACGAGCGUUAUCCGGAUUUACUGGGCGUAAAGCGUGUGCAGGCGGUUCGGCAAGUUGGAUGUGAAAUCUCCCGGCUCAACUGGGAGGGGUCGUUCAAUACUACCGAACUUGAGGUCAUCAGAGGAAGGUGGAAUUCCGGGUGUAGUGGUGAAAUGCGUAGAUAUCCGGAGGAACACCAGUGGCGAAGGCGGCCUUCUGGGAUGAUCCUGACGCUCAGACACGAAAGCUAGGGGAGCGAACGGGGUUAGAGACCCCGGUAGUCCUAGCUGUAAACGAUGUAGACUUGGCGUCGGAGGGUUCAAAACCUUCGGUGUCGUAGCUAACGCGAUAAGUCUACCGCCUGGGGACUACGGCCGCAAGGUUA
rnacentral:rRNA from 1 species